GCAAGUCGAACGGCAGCACGAGGAGCUUGCUCCUUGGUGGCGAGUGGCGAACGGGUGAGUAACGCGUAGGAAUCUACCUAGUAGUGGGGGACAACCCGAGGAAACUCGGGCUAAUACCGCAUAAUCUCUACGGAGGAAAGUGGGGGACCUUAGGGCCUCACGCUAUUAGAUGAGCCUGCGUCAGAUUAGCUUGUUGGUGGGGUAAAGGCCUACCAAGGCGACGAUCUGUAGCUGGUCUGAGAGGAUGAUC
rnacentral:rRNA from 1 species